rnacentral:rRNA from 1 species
UACGUAGGGGGCGAGCGUUGUCCGGAUUUAUUGGGCGUAAAGAGCGUGUAGGCGGCCAGGUAGGUCUGCUGUGAAAACUCGAGGCUCAACCUCGAGACGUCGGCGGAAACCAUCUGGCUAGAGUCCGGAAGAGGAGAGUGGAAUUCCUGGUGUAGCGGUGAAAUGCGCAGAUAUCAGGAAGAACACCCGUGGCGAAGGCGGCUCUCUGGAAUGCAACUGACGCUGAGACGCGAAAGCGUGGGGAGCAAACAGG